CAACUCGCCUGCAUGAAGUCGGAAUUGCUAGUAAUCGCAGAUCAGCAUGCUGCGGUGAAUACGUUCCCGGGCCUUGUACACACCGCCCGUCACACCAUGGGAGUCGGUAACACCCGAAGUCAGGAGCCUGACCUUUUUAGGAGGGCACUGCCGAAGGUGGGAUUGAUGACUGGGGUGAAGUCGUAACAAGGUAAC
rnacentral:rRNA from 1 species